CCACGCUGUAAACGAUGUCGAUUUAGAGGUUGUGGUCUUGAACCGUGGCUUCUGGAGCUAACGCGUUAAAUCGACCGCCUGGGGAGUACGGCCGCAAGGUUAAAACUCAAAUGAAUUGACGGGGGCCCGCACAAGCGGUGGAGCAUGUGGUUUAAUUCGAUGCAACGCGAAGAACCUUACCUACUCUUGACAUCCAGCGAAUCCUUUAGAGAUAGAGGAGUGCCUUCGGGAACGCUGAGACAGGUGCUGCAUGGCUGUCGUCAGCUCGUGUUGUGAAAUGUUGGGUUAAGUCCCGCAACGAGCGCAACCCUUAUCCUUUGUUGCCAGCACGUAAUGGUGGGAACUCAAAGGAGACUGCCGGUGAUAAACCGGAGGAAGGUGGGGAUGACGUCAAGUCAUCAUGGCCCUUACGAGUAGGGCUACACACGUGCUACAAUGGCAGAUACAAAGAGAAGCGACCUCGCGAGAGCAAGCGGAACUCAUAAAGUCUGUCGUAGUCCGGAUUGGAGUCUGCAACU
rnacentral:rRNA from 1 species